GCUCAGAUUGAACGCUGGCGGCAGGCCUAACACAUGCAAGUCGAGCGGCAGCACGGGUACUUGUACCUGGUGGCGAGCGGCGGACGGGUGAGUAAUGCCUAGGAAUCUGCCUAGUAGUGGGGGAUAACGUCCGGAAACGGGCGCUAAUACCGCAUACGUCCUACGGGAGAAAGUGGGGGAUCUUCGGACCUCACGCUAUNAGAUGAGCCUAGGUCGGAUUAGCUAGUUGGUGAGGUAAUGGCUCACCAAGGCGACGAUCCGUAACUGGUCUGAGAGGAUGAUCAGUCACACUGGAACUGAGACACGGUCCAGACUCCUACGGGAGGCAGCAGUGGGGAAUAUUGGACAAUGGGCGAAAGCCUGAUCCAGCCAUGCCGCGUGUGUGAAGAAGGUCUUCGGAUUGUAAAGCACUUUAAGUUGGGAGGAAGGGCAGUUACCUAAUACGUGAUUGUUUUGACGUUACCGACAGAAUAAGCACCGGCUAACUCUGUGCCAGCAGCCGCGGUAAUACAGAGGGUGCAAGCGUUAAUCGGAAUUACUGGGCGUAAAGCGCGCGUAGGUGGUUUGUUAAGUUGGAUGUGAAAGCCCCGGGCUCAACCUGGGAACUGCAUCCAAAACUGGCAAGCUAGAGUAUGGUAGAGGGUGGUGGAAUUUCCUGUGUAGCGGUGAAAUGCGUAGAUAUAGGAAGGAACACCAGUGGCGAAGGCGACCACCUGGAC
rnacentral:rRNA from 1 species